AGGCGUGAGUUAUCCGCCCGGUUGGUUUACUCUGUCCCAUAUCGACAGGGAAGAGGAAUCAUUGGAGCAUCUUCUUUCGAGCCCCGCAGCAUCUCACAUCUCCUCAGCUACGCUUUCUUGUUCUAUCAUCCACCGACCAAAAGCGCGGAUCACAUUGAAGCCCUUCUAAGGUUUGGUGUUCCCACCCCUUUUCUUUUGUCCGAGGAAAAAAAAAGGAGAUUUUUUUUUGCGCUUUCGGAUGGAGAUGGUGGUGGAAAUGGCGGAGCCGGGUGGGUUUCUUGCUUCCUUUCUCGGCUUAGAUGUGGUUCCGGCGACGAAACAGCGAGUUCGAUGGGAUCCCAAGGGAAUGCAGCUGAAGCACAAGAUUAGACCUAGCGUUUUCUGACGCUUCCGAGCUAAAUAUCGGUAUAUUUGGUGCCGAGGAAGCGAAUUGUUCUUUGACUUGAAGGAUUUGGAGAUGAUAGGAAGAGAAUCGAAUCUGAGGAAGGAAGCCGCAGUGAACCUGAGUGAAGUGGCGGCAAGCACUCAACUACGGAAGAUACGGCAACAGGGGUACGUGUAUGUGGAGCUGAGACGUGUCGGGAGGCGCAUCAGCUUCUUCUGCAUCCUUUGCCUCACCCCAUGUUACAGCGAAACGGUGCUGUUUGUUCAUCUUGGGGGGAAUCUCCAUAAACGAAGGCUUGCUGGUGCCAAAGCGACUCUUUUUGGAGCCACACCGUGGCCUUUCGAUGAUGGUGUUCUUUUCUUUGAUACUUCUACUGAGACUGACAUGCUGUUACCGGGUUCAGAUUAUCAAAAUGAUAUGUCUAUGGUUGUUAGUGACAGUUCUGGGAACGACGAUGAAGUAACUUCGAGGUUUAUAGUGAAUCCGACCAGUAUGCAUGAUGCUCCCGGUCUUGGUAGGAAUUGCAGUGCGCAAAAGGGUAGUGGUAAUGGUUCUAAUCUCGAUGGUUCCCCAGAUGCUCAACGUGGAUUAAUUGUAAAAGGUUGCGGUGCUUCUUCAAGAUCUAGCUGUUCUGUCGCAGACGAGGUUACAACUUGCAAUUGGGCUGAUAAUAGUUUGAUUAUUCCUGGGGUCCUACUUAAGCAGGGAGUUUCAGGUUUGGCUGUGCAACCCUUGGGAGUUGGGCAGAUUGCAUACAGAGUACAAGAAAACAAGGAAUCUCGUGGUAAGAUCAUUACCAGGAUAUGGUGUGCCUGGCUGGGACAAGAAGGAUCCAACCUUAGUGAUGAGUUGAAUGUGCCGGUAACUUCACAAUAUGCUAUAGUUAAUUUCCCUUAUGCAUAUGGCUUAGGUAGGAAGCCAGCUCCAGGCGAUGAAGAUCUUCCAAUGUCACCUGGUUCUUUCUUUGAAGUUGAUGACACUGGGCAUUGUAGGGAGAGGAAAAGGAAAUUGUCCUCAGAUCAGGUUUGAAUGGUUCUUGCGAGUCCCCUUCUGGAGUUUGCCCAAGUUUGGACAGCAUUGUGGCACAAGAUCCCCAACAGCUUGAGACGAGACUUGUAUCAAGCAAGGUCGUCGGGCAAGAGCCGAGAAUACAGAAACGUCGUCCUGCAGAGAGAACCUGCGACAUCUGUAGGCAGCCAAUGCUCCCUCGAAAGGAUGUGGCUACGCUACUGAAUCGUCGUACUGGUAAUUUAGCUUGCAGCAGUAGGAACACUACUGGGGCUUUUCAUCCAUUUCAUGCUUCAUGCCUCAUACACUGGAUCCUCAUAUGUGAGUUAGAAAUGUUGGCUGACCAGAAACAGAGCACUGAAACGACAGAGGACGCAAGGGAAGAUCAACGACUAGAGAACCGAAUUUCUUCGGUCUUUUGCCCGGAGUGCCAGGGCACUGGAAUAUCCAUCCAAGGAGAGGAACUUGAAAAACCCACCGUUCCACUUUCUGAGAUGCUCCGCUAUAAGCUGAAAACCAUCGAGGCAACCGAGGCAUGGAUGAAAAAUCCAGAAAUGCUCAAGAAAUGCUCCACCGGACUUCAUUUCCCUUCUGAUUGUACUGAAAACUCAGAGGAGAAUGUCGUACCUCUAAAGUUGCUGCACUUCUUUCGAGCCCAUGAGCAGAGGCAGGCUUAAAGAACACAACACUGAAAUGCUGGAUUCCAGCCACUGAUGGAUGACUCAGUUGUCAGAUGUAAAUAUUCACUUCUGUGUCGUACAAAUUUUUACAUUUGGCUUCUAGAGACGCUUGGGCAUGUAGAAAGAGAUUAGCGAGUCUUGUAUCACAUCUUACCUGCAAUUUGCUGUGAAUGCUAUUACCGGAUGCUGGUCUUCGUUACUAAUUGUUUGCUGUAGACAAUACCAUCGUCUUCAAGACAUACUCUGUUUUCCCA